rnacentral:rRNA from 1 species
GACAGAGGGUGCAAACGUUGUUCGGAAUUACUGGGCGUAAAGCGCGUGUAGGCGGCUUGGCAAGUCGGGUGUGAAAGCCCUGGGCUCAACCUAGGAAGUGCACUCGAAACUGCUUCGCUUGAGUGUCGGAGAGGAAAGCGGAAUUCUCGGUGUAGAGGUGAAAUUCGUAGAUAUCGAGGGGAACACCGGUGGCGAAGGCGGCUUUCUGGACGAUAACUGACGCUGAGACGCGAAAGCGUGGGGAGCAAACAGG